rnacentral:rRNA from 1 species
AAAACUCUAAGCGGUGGAUCACUCGGCUCAUGGGUCGAUGAAGAACGCAGCAAACUGUGCGUCAUCGUGUGAACUGCAGGACACAUGAACAUCGACAUUUUGAACGCACAUCGCAGUCCAUGCUGUUAUGUACUUUAAUUAAUUUUAUAGUGCUGCUUGGACUACAUAUGGUUGAGGGUUGUAAGACUAUGCUAAUUAAGUUGCUUAUAAAUUUUUAUAAGCAUAUGGUAUAUUAUUGGAUAAAUAUAAUAAUUUUUAUUCAUAAUAUUAAAAAAUAAAUGAAAAACAUUAUCUCACAUUUGAAUGUGAAAAACGAAGAGAAAUAUUUUCUUUUUCAAUCAAAUAAUACUGAGAAAUGUCUAGCAUAAAAAAUUGAAAUAUUUUUCAUCUAGAAUUGUCUCUUAUUAAUGAUUCGGAAAUAGAAAAAUCUUGGUUAUGUUAUUAUUCUUCGUUGGUUCGUUAAAAAUGGAUAAAUAAAAACUUUGCAUACAAGAAUUAAUAAAAAUGUUAUAACGAAUUUAAUUAAAUGUUUUAUCAUUAUAUAUAAAGAAUUUAUGGCAAGAUAAAGUUAUAUACAACCUCAACUCAUAUGGGACUACCCCCUGAAUUUAAGCAUAUUAAUUAGGGGAGGAAAAGAAACUAACAAGGAUUUUCUUAGUAGCGGCGAGCGAAAAGAAAACAGUUCAGCACUAAGUCACUUUGUCUAUAUGGCAAAUGUGAGAUGCAGUGUAUGGAGCGUCAAUAUUCUAGUAUGAGAAAUUAACGAUUUAAGUCCUUCUUAAAUGAGGCCAUUUACCCAUAGAGGGUGCCAGGCCCGUAUAACGUUAAUGAUUACUAGAUGAUGUUUCCAAAGAGUCGUGUUGCUUGAUAGUGCAGCACUAAGUGGGUGGUAAACUCCAUCUAAAACUAAAUAUAACCAUGAGACCGAUAGUAAACAAGUACCGUGAGGGAAAGUUGAAAAGAACUCUGAAUAGAGAGUUAAACAGUACGUGAAACUGCUUAGAGGUUAAGCCCGAUGAACCUGAAUAUCCGUUAUGGAAAAUUCAUCAUUAAAAUUGUAAUAUUUAAAUAAUAUUAUGAGAAUAGUGUGCAUUUUUUCCAUAUAAGGACAUUGUAAUCUAUUAGCAUAUACCAAAUUUAUCAUAAAAUAUAACUUAUAGUUUAUUCCAAUUAAAUUGCUUGCAUUUUAACACAGAAUAAAUGUUAUUAAUUUGAUAAAGUGCUGAUAGAUUUAUAUGAUUACAGUGCGUUAAUUUUUCGGAAUUAUAUAAUGGCAUAAUUAUCAUUGAUUUUUGUGUUUAUUAUAUGCACUUGUAUGAUUAACAAUGCGAAAGAUUCAGGAUACCUUCGGGACCCGUCUUGAAACACGGACCAAGGAGUCUAACAUAUGUGCAAGUUAUUGGGAUAUAAACCUAAUAGCGUAAUUAACUUGACUAAUAAUGGGAUUAGUUUUUUAGCUAUUUAUAGCUAAUUAACACAAUCCCGGGGCGUUCUAUAUAGUUAUGUAUAAUGUAUAUUUAUAUUAUUUAUGCCUCUAACUGGAACGUACCUUGAGCAUAUAUGCUGUGACCCGAAAGAUGGUGAACUAUACUUGAUCAGGUUGAAGUCAGGGGAAACCCUGAUGGAAGACCGAAACAGUUCUGACGUGCAAAUCGAUUGUCAGAAUUGAGUAUAGGGGCGAAAGCCCAAUCGAACCAUCUAGUAGCUGGUUCCUUCCGAAGUUUCCCUCAGGAUAGCUGGUGCAUUUUAAUAUUAUAUAAAAUAAUCUUAUCUGGUAAAGCGAAUGAUUAGAGGCCUUAGGGUCGAAACGAUCUUAACCUAUUCUCAAACUUUAAAUGGGUAAGAACCUUAACUUUCUUGAUAUGAAGUUCAAGGUUAUGAUAUAAUGUGCCCAGUGGGCCACUUUUGGUAAGCAGAACUGGCGCUGUGGGAUGAACCAAACGUAAUGUUACGGUGCCCAAAUUAACAACUCAUGCAGAUACCAUGAAAGGCGUUGGUUGCUUAAAACAGCAGGACGGUGAUCAUGGAAGUCGAAAUCCGCUAAGGAGUGUGUAACAACUCACCUGCCGAAGCAACUAGCCCUUAAAAUGGAUGGCGCUUAAGUUGUAUACCUAUACAUUACCGCUAAAGUAGAUGAUUUAUAUUACUUGUGAUAUAAAUUUUGAAACUUUAGUGAGUAGGAAGGUACAAUGGUAUGCGUAGAAGUGUUUGGCGUAAGCCUGCAUGGAGCUGCCAUUGGUACAGAUCUUGGUGGUAGUAGCAAAUAAUCGAAUGAGACCUUGGAGGACUGAAGUGGAGAAGGGUUUCGUGUGAACAGUGGUUGAUCACGAGUUAGUCGGUCCUAAGUUCAAGGCGAAAGCCGAAAAUUUUCAAGUAAAACAAAAAUGCCUAACUAUAUAAACAAAGCGAAUUAUAAUACACUUGAAUAAUUUUGAACGAAAGGGAAUACGGUUCCAAUUCCGUAACCUGUUGAGUAUCCGUUUGUUAUUAAAUAUGGGCCUCGUGCUCAUCCUGGCAACAGGAACGACCAUAAAGAAGCCGUCGAGAGAUAUCGGAAGAGUUUUCUUUUCUGUUUUAUAGCCGUACUACCAUGGAAGUCUUUCGCAGAGAGAUAUGGUAGAUGGGCUAGAAGAGCAUGACAUAUACUGUUGUGUCGAUAUUUUCUCCUCGGACCUUGAAAAUUUAUGGUGGGGACACGCAAACUUCUCAACAGGCCGUACCAAUAUCCGCAGCUGGUCUCCAAGGUGAAGAGUCUCUAGUCGAUAGAAUAAUGUAGGUAAGGGAAGUCGGCAAAUUAGAUCCGUAACUUCGGGAUAAGGAUUGGCUCUGAAGAUUGAGAUAGUCGGGCUUGAUUGGGAAACAAUAACAUGGUUUAUGUGCUCGUUCUGGGUAAAUAGAGUUUCUAGCAUUUAUGUUAGUUACUUGUUCCCCGGAUAGUUUAGUUACGUAGCCAAUUGUGGAACUUUCUUGCUAAAAUUUUUAAGAAUACUAUUUGGGUUAAACCAAUUAGUUCUUAUUAAUUAUAACGAUUAUCAAUUAACAAUCAAUUCAGAACUGGCACGGACUUGGGGAAUCCGACUGUCUAAUUAAAACAAAGCAUUGUGAUGGCCCUAGCGGGUGUUGACACAAUGUGAUUUCUGCCCAGUGCUCUGAAUGUCAAAGUGAAGAAAUUCAAGUAAGCGCGGGUCAACGGCGGGAGUAACUAUGACUCUCUUAAGGGCCCGAGAUAGAUUAUUAGCUGAACAAAAUGAACUGUUAUCGCGUCCGGCAAUAGAAAAAUAUUGGGCGAACAAGUUGUACCUCUCAGUUGAUGGUAGCGGACUCCGUGAAGCGGGCCAUUAUGGCCCGCAACACGGGUGGGUUAGUCAACCCACGCGUUUAUUAACAGGAAAGGAAUAUAUAGACGGUAUUCGUCUGCGGAUAAAUGCCCUACCCACAAAGUCUCGUACUACAAGGGGAAGGCACGAAUUGGAACGACAGUGUCGUGCAGGAUGUGAUGCUCCCGAAACAACAAACCACAUAAUGCAAAAAUGCUACCGCUCGCAUGGGAGGCGGGUAGCUAGACACAACUGCGUAGUAAAUCGAAUCAAGCGGGGACUUGAGGAGAGAGGCUGCGUGGUCAUUGUUGAACCAAGUCUGCAGUGCGAAUCCGGCCUUAAUAAACCAGACCUGGUGGCACUACGACAAAAUCACAUUGAUGUGAUCGACAUACAAAUUGUGACAGACGGACACUCUAUGGAUGAUGCGCACCAGCGCAAAAUCAAUAGAUACGACAGACCGGACAUACGAACUGAAUUGCGUCGCAGAUUCGAAGCCGCAGGUGACAUUGAAUUCCAUUCUGCCACCCUGAACUGGAGGGGGAUCUGGAGUGGUCAAUCCGUUAAAAGAUUGAUAGCAAAGGGUCUCCUCAGCAAAUAUGAUAGUCAUAUCAUUAGCGUCCAGGUUAUGAGAGGCAGUCUCGGUUGUUUUAAACAGUUCAUGUACCUGAGCG